CGCCGCCUCCGCUCGAGCCCUCCCCAAGCCGUCGCAUGCUACAGAAAGCCUCCCGAGGCCGCCCGCUCGAUAUCGUCGCCCCGGGGCCACCCGCUCCAGCGCCCCGAGCCACCGCGCUACCCCACGCUCACAUUGUGGAGAGCUCACGGAUCCGUUGCGGUUCGUGACGAAGGCCGACGGCGGUCGCGGGCGAGCGAGCGAUGUGGUGGCGCGGCGGCUACGCGUGCGAGGAGGCGCACGGGGAGCAUGUCACCGCAGGGCACAUCUGUGGCUGCUGGCCAAAGCCUUCAUCUCAGCCAUGGAGUUCUGGCUGCCAGGCUGCUCCAGCAUGCGCUCCUAGCGGAUGCGUUCCUCGUGGAGGCGACACUGGAGGCCGGACUGCGGCUGAGACUCGGCAAGGUAGCGAGCGGCCAAACCUCUAGCAAAGGUGGCAACCUGACCUGAGAGCGGAGACCACCUCGACCGGUAACCCAAUCCUAACAGGUUUAUUUUAACUGCAAGUAAGGUGUUUGACGAAAUGCCUCCUCAGCAGUCGACAAGACAACAAAUCAGGAACACGCCAUGAGAUCCAGGCUACUGGUUCUUCUCAUGCUGCCUCGGAAUCCGAUAACAAUGACAAUGAUGGUGGCCACAAUAGCAACAGUGGAAGCCAAGCUAUGUGAUGGGCUCGUCAGUUGUGCAAAAACAGCAUGCUAUUUGGUAGUUUCUGAACUUUCACUGAUGUGAAUUCAACUUGUAACGUUUUGAAGUGUUUGGUCUGCAUACACUUAGGUGGUAGGAGAUACACUUGCUUUAGGGAAGACAUGUGACACAGUGACAAUGGUGUUUAAGCCAAACAAUUGGACAUCAUCUUAUAUGUAUGCUGUGUGUAAUGGUCGAGCUCUGGUGUAGUUAAGCAAUUUGUAUGGUUAAGUUGUGGUGUGCCAUAAUUGGACUAUUAUGUGAAUGAUUCAGAUUUAAUUGAAAUUACCAUUUCUUGAAAA